UUAAUUUUAAAGCUUUCCGAUGGACUACAUUUUUUAUCUUUUCUUGCAGUGCGUAAAUAUAUAAAGAUGGUGGUUUCCCGACUCACGAACAGUCGUCAGGUCGUCUUCUCCUUGACCAAAAAGAUCGGACCUCACUUCACAGCUAGGAACGGACCCAAAGAGAUCGGACCUCAUUACUCAGCUCAGAACAUUGUGUAUUGGAAAACUAAAUUGUCGUUUUUAGUA